rnacentral:rRNA from 1 species
AGAGUUUGAUCCUGGCUCAGGAUAAACGCUGGCGGCGCACAUAAGACAUGCAAGUCGAACGAACUUAACCAUUAGUUUACUAUUGGAGCGGUUAGUGGCGGACUGGUGAGUAACACGUAAGCAACCUGCCUAUCAGAGGGGAACAACAGUUAGAAAUGACUGCUAAUACCGCAUAUGCCUUAGAAUCACAUGGUUCUUAAAAGGGAAAGGAGCAAUCCACUGAUAGAUGGGCUUGCGUCUGAUUAG